GGCCCGUUGGCUCAGGUGGUUGGAGCGCGGUGCUCCUAACGCCGAGGUUGCCGGUUCGAUUCCCACAUGGGCCA